GACGAACGCUGGCGGCGUGCUUAACACAUGCAAGUCGAACGGAAAGGCCCUGCUUUUGUGGGGUGCUCGAGUGGCGAACGGGUGAGUAACACGUGAGUAACCUGCCCUUGACUUUGGGAUAACUUCAGGAAACUGGGGCUAAUACCGGAUAGGAGCUCCUGCUGCAUGGUGGGGGUUGGAAAGUUUCGGCGGUUGGGGAUGGACUCGCGGCUUAUCAGCUUGUUGGUGGGGUAGUGGCUUACCAAGGCUUUGACGGGUAGCCGGCCUGAGAGGGUGACCGGCCACAUUGGGACUGAGCUACGGCCCAGACUCCUACGGGAGGCAGCAGUGGGGAGUAUUGCACAAUGGGCUGAAGCCUGAUGCAGCAACGCCGCGUGCGGGAUGACGGCCUUCGGGUUGUAAACCGCUUUCGCCUGUGACGAAGCGUGAGUGACGGUAAUGGGUAAAGAAGCACCGGCUAACUACGUG
rnacentral:rRNA from 1 species